CCUUGUAGCCAACGUCGGGUUUUCGAGACUAACGUAAGACGUCCGUCGGCUUUGGGCCCGAAGAGAACCAAAGGAAUGAGGGGAAUAAAGUGCUUGAAUUGUAAUGUUUAAUUGAUAAAACGUUGUCUGAAGACAUGGAUGACGUGGUCAAAAAUAAGCUUAAGAGCAAUGCCAAGAUUUACAGUAACACUUUGGAGCGAAUAACGUUAACCGUGCUAGCCAGAUGCCUGCUAGCAUUGUAACUAGCUAGCUAGCUAGUGUUCUUCUGACGAUGUGGUUAGAUAAUCAAACAUAUUAGCAAAGACACCCUAUUGAUGUUCUCUAACCCAGCUAGCGUUAGCUAACAAGUAGUAGUAGUAGCACAGAGCAGAGGCAAAUUUUUGAAAUCGUAUUAUUGUAACUAGCUAGUAGUCUCUCUCGCCAACUAGCCUUCUUUUACUGUCCCUCUUGAGGCCACGGGGCGAAAUGCACAAGCAAGCACCCCCCCAUCAAAUCAAAUGUUAUUUGUCACAUACACGUAUUUAGUAGAUGUUAUUGCGGGUGUAGCGAAAUGCUUGUAAGCAAUGUCACUCUACUACUAGGCCUGUAACAGAUGAAACCUCAGAUUGUGCCAGUAUUUACAAUUUUCUUUGACAACAGUAUUCAAAGCUGCAUGACAAUGGGACUGAGGUGAACCUGGAGGACAUAACACCCCAAGAGGUGAGAGUAUGCAUGGUCAAGUCAGAGUUGGAACUAUCAAAGCUGGGAUUGUCAAAGAGUGAUGUUGACCUGGUAGAGCUGUCACUGGGAGGCCACAGAACAUCAUUAGAGACUUCAAGAUGGACAUCUCAUACCACCAGGAUGAUCCCAACGAUGAUUGUGUAGAUGAGGGUGCUGGCCCUGUCAACAGUAAUGAUUCUGUUAUGCUGCAGAGAUCAGCCACUGUAAGUAAAUUAUUUGAACAUUAACCCUAGUGACAUAUAGACACUACCGUUCAAAAGUUUGGGGUCACUUAAAAAUGUCCUUGUUUUUGAAAGAAAAGCAAAAAUGUUGUCCUUUAAAAUAACAUCAAAUUGAUCAGAAAUAAAGUGUAGACCUUGUUAAUGUUGCAAAUUACUAUUGUAGCUGGAAAUGGCUCAUUUUUUAUGGAAUGUCUACAUAGGUGUACAGAGGCCCAUUAUCAGCAACCAUCACCCCUGUGUCCCAAUGGCAUGUUGUGUUAGCUAAUCCAAGUUUAUCAUUUUAAAAAGCUAAUUGGUCAUAAGAAAACCCCUUUGCAAUUGUUAGCACAUCUGAAAACUGUUGUUCUGAUUUAAAGAAUCAAUUAAACUGGCCUUUUAUACUAGUUGAGUA
rnacentral:lncRNA from 1 species